UCUCACAAAUCUAAUAUUUUUCUUGUCAAAAUUGAAAUCAAUACGAAUCUUAUCGAUGUAUAUCUCAAUUAAACCUUACAAGGUACUAAACGUUACAUAAAUAGCAUACUUGAGUCACAUAAUAACAACGUGUAUAGCUUUUCAAACACAUUGAUCAAAUAAAAAAAAAAGAAAAUAAAAAAAAAAGAAAAGAAAAAGUAGGUUUAUCUGUCGAUAAAAAAGAUUCCUCUGAGUCGAUAAUCAAGUUUCUCUAGCUUGUACUGCCACCAUGCGACUGUUUCGAUCGAUCGGUCGAUAAGUUAGGGGACGAUAAAAAACGAGUUUAAUAAUAAUAGUAAUAAUCUAUCUGUUUCAUGAGAAAAUAAACACGUUUGGUGGUAGUGUUUACGGAAGAUUGUAACAGCUGUAUUUAUAUAUAUGCGUUUGGCGAGAGAAAAGUGGAACGCGGGGAGAGGGGAGCGAUUGAAAAGGGGAUGAUCCCGACAACGCGAGCGACAUAAUUGGCCAUGAAAAAAGAAAAAAAAAAAAAAGAAAGAAAGAAAGAAAGAAAGAAAAAAGUUUGAUUUACGUUGGACACUUACUAUUGAAAUUUUAUUGGUUAUCUUUUAAUCGUUUUUUCUAAUAUCAUAAAAAUAAAAAUCUUUUUUGUUUUUAACACGUGAUUCUUUGGAGCACCAACUUCGUCGAUUAUCUUGAUGCAUGUAUCAGUUUAUGCAAUCGCUAUGACGACUCCAUAAAUAACUGCAUAACAAGUAAGAGUUCGCGCGAUGAACUAAGAAAAAAAAAACAAAAAAAAAAGAAGAAAAUGAAAAAUUUGAAAUGAAAUAAAAAAAGAAAAUAAAAAAAUCUGAUUACGUAAGGAACGGGUAAAAAAAUUGUAAAAUUUAUUUGUAGAAGUUUUUCCAUGAAAAGAGAAAAAAAAGAAAGAGAGAGAGAAAAGAGAGAAAAGAAGAAUUUUUAUUUUCCACAAAGAGAUAUUUAUUAUUUUAUACCUGAAGUAAGAAUAUCUUCACGGAGAGAGGAAAGGAGCAUUCUUCCGUGUUCUAAACACCUGCGAGAGGGGAAGAAUACAAGGGACAGGACAAGGCAGUUUCAGUUUAGAUUCAUCAUGGCGUCGUGGACGAAUUCGUUUCGGAAAAUAAAAUAUUCAACUAAUAUCCUCUCUAUUAUACGUCGACAAUGACGAAGAUGACGACGACGAUGAGGACGAUGAGAACAACGAGGAGUUAGACGUUCGAAACGAUUUUCUUAGAGAACGUUUCCUGGGUAACUCGUGCGUCAUCCUUUAUCGUUCUCGAAAAGAACACACACACGUCAGCUGGUGGUGCCUGGUGUGCUUCGAGGGACACGGCAUAACCGCUCGUGUUUCUCCUUCUAUGCCGCGAGAGUGCACCCUCGGCGCUCUGAGCUCGCUCGAGGCCGAAACCGAUGGAUUUGAUGACAAAUUUUAGUCGUCUAUCUAAAGAAAAUCGUGGAAACCGAUACGAUUGGCAAUUCAACUGAUGAAUUUGUUAGUGCAUGUGUCGACAGUACACUCCCAAAGCGUCAGCGAUUUGUUUUCGCCGAUUCAAGAAGAUUACCGUCGCGCAAAACAUCACUUUAUCGACUGCUAGGUGUCGCAAUGGUGACAUGUCGUCUACACGUACAAACAUG